GUCAAGCAGCCAUUUUCUUCAACAGUCAACAUCUUUACAGAAGAAAAGCAUACACUUGGAAUAGUCAUUUAACUAUAUAUCAUCUUAAAAGACAUUCUUGAGGAAGUAAACAUUAUGAAACUCCAAAUUUUGGUUGUUUUAUAUUUGACAAAUUUACAUUGCUGGACGGGUGUAGAUGGAGCAAAUGAAACACUAUUUUUAGACGGCGUGGAUGACAAGACCAUUACAAAUUUUCAAAGCAGAUCUUCUGAAGCAUACAAGCUGCCAUAUGUUAGAGAAAUUCGUUUUCCGAUGUAUUCAGGAAAAGUGAUAUCUAUCGAAGGAAAUACGUCAGGAAGUGCUACAGAGUU